ensembl:snRNA U6 U6 spliceosomal RNA
GGGCUCACUUCAGGCAGCAUACACACAAAAAUUGGAACAAUGCAGUAAGAUUAGCGUAACUCUUUGGCAAGGAUGACAUAUAAACCCUUGAAGCAUUUCAUAUAUUU